rnacentral:lncRNA from 1 species
CAUGCUUAAUCCAUCACAGAACCAAAUCCACUAUUGAUUACAAAAUUAUUCAUCUGUCAAUCAUCUGCUACCAGUAUCCAAGCAUUCAGCACAAUUUGAUCAUACACACUCCAGUACAAUUUAUGUUCAUUCUCAAUGGAACGAAAGCAGAACAACUACUACAUUACGCCUACUGAACAUUUCUUCAAUGUCGGUUCACAUGCCAUAUAGUCUUUCCUUUGUCUUGCUAUUUCAUGUGCCAAAACAAUUUAUUGCCAUCGUCGUCUUAGUAAAUUCUUACUGAUGAAAUUAAUCGGCUGUGAACAAAGCAAACUUUUGUAUAAUGAUCAGGCUAUUUGCCAUGAAUGCCAGCUUACUAUGACAUUUUCUACUAUAAUAGUCCAAGAAGCUGAGCUGAUGGGUGACCAGAACCUACACAAUGUUCUAACAUCAGUUUGUAGACAUACAUAGUUUUGUUCCUUCCUUUCUUAUAGAUACUGUUCUACAAUUUCCAUAAAAAGUAUUAACAAAAGCCUGCUGAAGGAUUCUGAAAAGUAUCACAAAUAUAAAUCAAGGAUGACACAUAUUGAACAUUUCUUUCAAUGCUUGUAUUCCUGCAUGUUGUUUCCCAUAUAUCCUACCUAAUUAGGAUAGUUGAAGUAUUUAUGUGUAAAAUACAUUUCACCUACCAUCAACGCAUUUUGGUAACAGCAAGCAUAUCCGAGGAAACAACACAGGAAAAUCUAAAUAAUUAAAAUCUAGCCAAAAGAUAAUCUCAUGAGUAUGUGCACCUAAUGAUAAGCUGAAAUAAAGUUGAUCAACAGGGAAGAAAAUGCGUUUAGAGACACGCGGCUCGCACCUCUGUAGCCAAGAUUUCAUUGUCUAUUAUUGCAUUGUGCCACAUAUCUUACAACCUCUUUAUUUUCUGCAACAAAAUAUCAUGAAUAUAAUCACAAUACAAAAAGAUGAUGUACUCCUUUACUAAAUUAUUGUUUUGCCAGAACAGAGUACACUGAAAAACAGUACUGAAUUUUACUGAAACUCAAGAGAUCUGCAGUUUGAACAGAAAAGGUUCAAAAGUGGGGGUCUCUGCCAAUGCAAAUGGUUAUAUUCCUCCGCACAAUGCAUAUUAAAUGGCUGAAAUUUUUGCAAAGUACCGUUAGCAUAGGGCUACAACCUCCUCCAUGAAAGAAGCUAUUGUUAGCAGCAAUGGGAGUAACUACAUAUACAUACUCCUUUUAUAGUCUGAAUGAAAGAAAUAAAACAAAAUAUAUUAUGCUGACUCUUACCAAGUCCUCUUCCAGUCUUUGGUGUUGGGAAGUCAACAAAUACCCAAACAGCCAAGACGUGACCAUUCUGUAUGGUCUACUGGCGUAGAUAAAAUUCCAAGGACAUCAUAUGGGUAUGUUAACAUGACUGGCUCUACAAAGGUCGAUGUUCCACAAGCACAACAAUUCCUCCUAGUCAGUCUUCAUGCAGUCAUGUUAAUCCAAGUUUGAUUGUAGACGUA